GGGAGCUCCCCCAGCCGGUCCGACGCUCGGAGUGCAGGCGUGGCGGGACGCCGAAGGAGUCGGUUCUUCGGAGAGCCACGGCGAGUCAGUGGUCGGAGAGUUGACAGGCCGGCCCUGCGCGGAGUGAUGGCCUGGGGCAGAAGCCCCGUUUUGCCCAGAAGACUCCGGAGUCCGCUCCGCGGCUGCUGCCCUCGGCGCCAGGCCCAGCGGCCUUCGCCCCGCCCCCCGUCUCUCAUUGGCUCCCCCGGGACACGUGGGGGGGGAAGGAGGCGUGGCCACCGCGGCUGGGGCUGGCGGCCUGCGGCCGGCGGGGAUGAGAGGCCCGCGGACUCGGGCCUGGGGCCGCAUGGCAACCGUGGUGCCGGGCUGCUGGCGACGGCGGAGGGCGGAGGAGCUUCAGGUUCCGGGGGACGCGAAACGGGCAUGCAGGAGAGGAGAAGCAGCCGGGCCAGAGUGGGGCCGAGCCCCUGUGAAGCUCAGUGCCCCAGUGUCCUGCAGCGGCGAGGGGCUGCCACGUGUGGGGAUUCCUCAGAACGGCGGAAGGAGCUGGGCCCAGCCUUGCCCGAGAUGUAUGGCGGGGGAGUCUAUACGGCGAUGCAUUUGACACCUGCCAUUAAAGGAGAAGCUUCAAAUGCGCUGAAGUCCUCCUCAAGCAGUGGUUCUGGGGUUUAGGCACUGAAAUCUCCAGAUGGGCCCAAGGGGAAAUGAAGAUCUCGAAGGAGACGCCCCCCAUCCUGUGCACCCCGGCUUCUUGUGCCGUCCCAGCGGCUCCCCGAAGCACCUGCAAGCCACCUCCCUCCCACCGACACGCCACCUCAUUCGGGUGAAGCAUGGGCAGCGCCCCGGGAAAGCCGCGGACGAGUCCCGGAGACGCCAGCGUGGUUCCAGCCUGAACACUCUCGGAAGAGACGUGCAGCCCUCGCGCCCAUCAAGCCUGGAACAUUUCAUCAACUGCCAGAGAAGCCCGUGGCCUUCGGCUGUCGCCCCUACGCGGCCCCCCACAUCCGCCGUCCCUCAGCCAACUCAUUUUCGACCACCUUCUCCCUAGAGACUUCCCUGCUCUGGACCUUUCACGCGGGAAGAGAUGUGGACAGACCACAAAGUCCUGAGCAGAAGAGCCAAUUCAGUCUUCCUGUCCUAUCAACUUGUGUGUGUUUGAAACCAUCUACAAUGCAGUCUCGAAUGUCCAAUCACCUCUGUAUUAAUUCAACAGUUGUUUGCGGAUCCCACAUGCAGCGUCCAGCUCCAUGCAAAGAACUCCUCAACCAGAUGAGGAGAACAGGUGGAUCCCAAGUUCAGGAGUUUCCCACAGGGCGAGUCCACAUAUGGAGGUGUUUCAGCAAAUAAAGCAAACAAUUGCUGAAAUCGUCUGUGCUCUGAAAAUGCCUAGGAUUAGGUCUGACUUCUGGGUCCGGUGGCCAAGUUUUGCCUCUGCUGAGCGUCUGCGAUGGGGCCCCACGAUCCCCCGCACCCCUGGACUAGUGCUAAUUCGACGCUGGUAAAAGCCCCAGCUUGUCUCACACCCCAACUGUUGGCUGGUUAGUAGGGACCACAAGGCAUAUUGCUUUUUAUGGACAAAGAGAUAAAAGUAAAUAUUGAAACAGUUUUGAAUAUUGAUGUUUGUGAAUUUGUUUCUGGGUACAGUGGCCAGUGACAGAGCAUACACAGGCGGACGACAGAGGUUGGGAUGGACGUUGACUUUUAAGUGCCUCUUACAUGAACCGAAUUCGGCCUUUCCUGCUGCCGACGUCACAGAGCUGAGUCCUCCCACUCCACGGCUGAAGGUCAAGCACAGCCUGCCCAGCCCAGUGAGUAUCUGUGCCACCAAGGAGGGCGGCACAGGCAACCACUGGAUCCUGUAAGGGACGCAUGGAGAGUCAACGAUCAUUCCGUCUUAAGGGGACCUCGGCGCUAUUAACUAUAUAUGGAGAUGAGGCCACGGGUCUCCUGUCCACGGCCAAGCUCUUUCCCAUGAAAGUGAUGGAUUUCCUCCAACUGUCCCAUCUGAUUAUGUCAUCUCCUUCAUGAACCUGCGGGACCGCUGUCGCUCCUCUUCCAGGUCUCUGAUCAGGAACAAUUACCCACAUGGCUAAAUGUUCUCCAUUCGUUUCUCAGUCAUAUAUAUAUGUAAAGUCCUCAAGGACCUACCAAGAGGAAGGCUGGGCCUCCAUUCCCCAGGUACAUAUGGAGGAAGGGGGUUGAGGAUGGCACCUUCAAAGGGCAGGGAAGAUUGCAGAGGAGGAGGGCUGGAGAAGGAAGGGUCACCAACCCCACGUUAGAGGGAUCCGACCCAUCCUCUCAGCCUUUCUUGUCAUCCGCCAUCCCAGGGCUCCAUGCAUGCAAAGUGACUGUAAGACAUCAGAGUUCCUCAUCCUUCGCCUCUGAAGCCACAUAUGGCUGGACCACAUAAGGGCCAGAGUUCUGGAGUCCAGCACUGGGGUUGGAGUCCUGACUUCCUGGCAGUGUGACCAAGACAUGUCCCUUAACUUUCCUGAGCUUGUGCUUGUCUUGGGUGCCCAGCACAAACAUUCAGUACAUGUGAGCUGCUAUUAAAAACAUGGGUAAUUUUAUAUCUUAAAAUAUUGCAUAUUGCUUAAAUGGUUUCAUGCUGGCUCACAUUAAAAAUGAUUCCCAAGUGAAGAUGACAAAGGGGAAAUAUUCCUUAUUUAGUUCUUUUCUUACAUUAAGCUAUCAUAAUAAAGUACAUUUCUGGGUUGCAUU